GAUGAACGCUGGCGGCGUGCCUAAUACAUGCAAGUCGAGCGAACGGACGAGAAGCUUGCUUCUCUGAUGUUAGCGGCGGACGGGUGAGUAACACGUGGAUAACCUACCUAUAAGACUGGGAUAACUUCGGGAAACCGGAGCUAAUACCGGAUAAUAUUUUGAACCGCAUGGUUCAAAAGUGAAAGUCGGUCUUGCUGUCACUUAUAGAUGGAUCCGCGCUGCAUUAGCUAGUUGGUAAGGUAACGGCUUACCAAGGCAACGAUGCAUAGCCGACCUGAGAGGGUGAUCGGCCACACUGGAACUGAGACACGGUCCAGACUCCUACGGGAGGCAGCAGUAGGGAAUCUUCCGCAAUGGGCGAAAGCCUGACGGAGCAACGCCGCGUGAGUGAUGAAGGUCUUCGGAUCGUAAAACUCUGUUAUUAGGGAAGAACAUAUGUGUAAGUAACUGUGCACAUCUUGACGGUACCUAAUCAGAAAGCCACGGCUAACUACAUG
rnacentral:rRNA from 1 species